GGCAGACAGGCAGGAAAUGGCCACUUACCAGCCUGAAGCUGGGCUACUCCCUCAGUGCACUUUCUUACAUGGCCUUGUUCAGCCUGCAGUUUACAUUCUCACAUGAUGGUAGUAGAAAACACUUCAGUUAUCUUUUCUCUGUGGGCCUUCUGUUUAUCUCCACCCUGUUUCAUGAAAGAAAACAGAAUUGUCAUUUCCCCGUUGAGCCCAUUAGUAACAGGAAGUGAAUUCAUGCUGGAGUUUCCAAAGAUCUGCCCCAUUGUGCCACAUUCUCUACCCUCCUGGCCUCUCAGCCUCUGCUGUUCUUCUCCCUGUACGGCAUCAAAAAAGAGCCUGCAGCUUUCAGCACCACUGAGCGGGACAUAAAAUGGGGAGAUGUGCUCAAGGUCAAGGUGGGGAGUUGAUCAUCUGAACAGAGCAGUCAUGAAAAGUCCUUGAUGAUUACAUCCAGUGCUAUAGACUUGGGAGAUAUCUUCAUGGAGAUGAUGGGCGAACCCGUAGAAUUGUCUGACAUAUACAAGAACAGUGUAGGAGAGGUGAAGGAGCCCAGAUGAGAGAAAUUCCUAGUAAGCUGGUGAAAAACAAAUUGUUUAAGACAAUGAGUUAAAAGAAACCAGUUGGAAAUCAAGAUUGCCAGUACUGCUUUGCUCAACCGUUUGAAAAUUUGUUAAACCAAGGAUUAGGUUUCACACUUUUAUGCUUUAAAAUAGCUUUUGUCUGUUCUUCGAGAUUUUUUUAUUUUUUUUUUUAAUUUUAACUUCAAAUUCAUUUUCAUUCAAUCAUGGCUGCCCUGAAUUAUUAUUUAAGAGAGACACAUUUUAGGUAAUAUGCAGGCCAACAAUAAAGUAUUGUCUAAGUGAUGACUAUACAUUUAUAAAUUAAAAACUAUGGAGUCAUUUAAAAAUAUUGUAUAAAAUGGAUCUUACAGUCAAAGAUAAAUCUUUAAAAUACAAUUCGAUAUAUUACAAUUAUGUGUGUUUUCACACAAAUGUGUAUAGAAAUUGAUCUGAAAUUAUAUAUGCAUAUAUGUGUGUAUAGAAGGAAAUCUGACCAAAAUAUACUAUAUGAUAUUAAAAUGGUUGUCUCCAUAUA